GACUUUUUGUUCUUGGGAUCCCCAUUCCAAAGGUUCCGUUCCCCGCCCCCUUUGUGACCUCAUACAAAGGCUUGGCUAAUACUGCAAAGUUUGGGAUCCAGUCUACAAAACCCCACAGCUCCCAAGAAUUCCCUUACCUGCCUUCUGCCCUUAGGCUCCGGUAGAUUGUAAAUAACCUGCUUUCUUUCUGUUCCCGGGCUGCGUUCGGACCCCUGUCGGAUAGUAAAUCCCAAGCAAGGUACCUGCCGUCAGCAGAUUUGAGCUUUCUUCUUGGACACCUAAUACCCACAGUCCUCCAGGCUCCGGUAGAUUGCAAAUGACCUGCUUUCUUUCUGUUCCCGGGCUGCGUUCGGACCCCUGUCGGAUAGUAACUCCCAAAAAAACAAACAAAGACAUGGAUUUACUGUGCAUAUUAGCAGAUCCAUACUGGAAAAUGCAUGGAGGUUUCAUAUACACCACUUACAGGUUUCCAAAGCCACAAUUUCCUUCAUAUGUUCAAACUCUUCAGGAUGCAGAAAGGCAGUGAACUCCUCCGGAGUAGCUGUCAGGUCACCAUUGAGGUCUGCAGCUUUGAAUCUUCUCUCAUCACGUGGCAGCAUCUUUUUAAAGGUGUGAUGAUCUGAAGAAUCAUGAAACUCUGCGGGGUUUCCUAGGUUUUCAGCUCCUCAGUAGUGACAAAGCCAUACCCAUCAUUGUCGAUUCGAUCAACAAUCUUCCCUAGCCUCUCCUUGCUCUCGUCCGGGGUGAGCUCGUCGAAGUUCUUGGAGUCCUCCUUGCCCAGGAAGGCCUCGUGGUCGUACUGGAAGCUCUGGUUGUCCUCAGGGGGCCGCUCGCCCAGCUCCGAGUCGGGCCGCACCACGCGCUCUUUGCGCACCGUGGGCUUGGCCCGCAGAACCCGCGGCGCCAGCACCAGCGCCAGCAGCAGCCCCAGGGCUAACCCCAGGCGGCCACCGCGCGCCAUCGUCCCGAGGAGAGGGCGGCCGGGAGGGAGACGCUGAGCGAGCGACAACAGCGGCAGCUCGGGAAUGGGGGCUCGGAGCGCGGCGGCCAAGUUUUAUGUUAUGUAUAUUUUACAAGUAAAAAAAUUUUUUCACC
rnacentral:lncRNA from 10 species